rnacentral:rRNA from 1 species
UACGUAGGGUGCAAGCGUUGUCCGGAAUUAUUGGGCGUAACGAGCUCGUAGGCGGUCUGUUACGUCUGCUGUGAAAACCCAGGGCUUAACCCUGGGCUUGCAGUGGAUACGGGCAGACUAGAGGCAGGUAGGGGAGAAUGGAAUUCCCGGUGUAGCGGUGAAAUGCGCAGAUAUCGGGAGGAACACCGGUGGCGAAGGCGGUUCUCUGGGCCUGACCUGACGCUGAGGAGCGAAAGCGUGGGGAGCAAACAGG